ensembl:lncRNA HRG-AS1 HRG and FETUB antisense RNA 1
CUGGCAGAGGUGGUUGGGGCUAUGUGCCUGGAGUGAAGAUUCUGCCCAUUGGUCAAGAGACCUCCCUCUCAGAUGCUGGCUCUGCCCCUGCCUUUGGGGGUCGACCCUUGUACUCGCAGGACCUUAGGUGACUCUGUGGAGUCUGACUCUGUCGCCCAGGCUGAAGUGCAGUGGCACAAUCUCGGCUCACUGCAACCUCCGCCUCCCGGGUCCAAGCCAUUCUUGUGCCUUAGCCUCCUGAGUAGCUGGGAUUGAAGAUUCUACUUCUCUGAUCAUCCAGGAAGCCAACCUGCCUGAGGACGAGUCAUACUCUGUCCUCCCACCCCAGGCCAGAGAGUGGUAUCUGUCUUUCCACAAGUUGUAAGCUUCUACCUUUGAUGAUCACAUAUUUGGUAGUGCGUGAUGGUGGUGGGUGGUGGGUGGCGGUGGUGGUGGGUGGUGAGGGGUGGUAGUGGUGGUGGGUGGUGGUGGGUGGUGGUGGUGGUGGGUGGUGGGUGGUGGUGGGUGGUGGUGGUGGUGGGUGGUGGGUGGUAGGUGGUGGGUGAUGGUGGUGGGUGGUGGGUGGUGGGUGGUGGUGGGUGGUGGGUGAUGGUGGUGGGUGGUGGGUGGUGGUGGUUGGGUGGUGGUGGUGGAUGGUGGUGGUGGUGGGUGAUGGUGGUGGGUGGUGGGUGGCGGUGGUGGUGGGUGGUGAGGGGUGGUAGUGGUGGUGGGUGGUGGUUGGUGGUGGUGGAUGGUGGUGGUUGGUGGUGGUGGGUGGUGGGUGGUGGGUGAUGGUGGUGGGUGAUGGUGGCGAGUGGUGGUGGGUGGUGGGUGAUGGUGGUGGGUGGUGGUGGGUGAUGAUGGUGGGUGGUGGUGGGUGGUGGGUGGUGGGUGAUGGUGGUGGGUGGUGGUGGGUGGUGGGUGGUGGUGGAUGGUGGUGGUGGUGGUGGGUGGUGGUGGUGGUUGUGGUGGUGGUGGUGGGUGAUGGUGGUGGGUGGUGGGUGGUGGUGGUGGGUGCUGGUGGUGGUAUGUGUGUGUGUGUGUGAGGCCUGGACUCCUAGUGAUAGUACAAAUCCCAAGUGACUUCAAGGUUAAACACAAUUCACUCACCGUCUUAGUGGCUUCAGUUAUGCGGUACAAUACAAACUGG